CAUGAAAAAAAUGAUGUGUUAUUCAGCAUUCAACAUUCAGACUACAUUCAUUGUGCAGUUGUGCUUCUGUUGUCCAAUAAGAGCAGGCUCAAACACAAAGCAAGUCUAAACUUAUCUAUUAUACAUACACACAAUGUCAGCAAACACACAGUGAAGCCUGAUGUGUGUAUCCAGGUAACAACAAGGUUACAGAGAGUGUGCUACAGGCUGAAGCUUGUAACACAAGAACACACCCUCUCUGCACUUUUACCUGUCACAUUCUUUACAGACACAGACAGCAGAGACCACAUAAAGAGACCUCAGUCCUCAGAAAUGGCAGAGAAAAAGGCAUUAUCUGUUGGUAAUGGACAGUCCACAGUGGCUCAGUCAGGACAGAGUAGUCUUCCAGGACCCUCUGCAGGCACCCACAAUGUACUGCAGGACGGACUGAGCUUCACUCCAUUGGACUCAAAUGAUGCCAGGGCUGUUCAGCCUUUCCCACGUUCUCCAAAACUACAGAAGAAGAUAGCCAAAGCUGGACAGCCCUCUCAGCCCUCAUUUACCUGCUAGGAGUAGCUUUGGUAGCUGUGGUGGCCUAGCUGGAUCUGCUCUGCUCCGGAUCCCAGGCUGGGUGAGCAGUGGGCGGUGUCUUGGAGCAGUGGUGGAACAGAGCCCUGACGCCUGUAGAGAGGAGCUAUGCCGUGCCGGUGCUGGUGCCGGUGCCGGGAAGGCUUGCCUUGCGACUCUGAUUUCUGCGUGCCAGUGGUGGUUCACCUGAUUUCCGCACUGAUGUCUGGCCGCUCCCUGACACAGCGGAGGACGCACAGAGUUUCACCGUGCUGGUGCUGGGGAAGGCUUAUCACACGGCCUUGAUCUCUGUGUACAACCAGUGGAUCACCUGGUUUCCACACUGACGGCUGGCUGUUCCCUGAACAGCAGGGGAUGCAGGGAGCUCUGCCGUGCCAGUGCUGGGGAAGGCCCUAUCGCACAUCCCUGAUCUCUGUGUGCGAGCAAUGAAUCACCUGGCCUUAAGCAAUGUUGUGGCUUUUGACUCUUUUUAUCUUGUUUUAUAUGUUUUGUCCGAAUUAUUCUGGACCUGUAAGUCAUGUUGUGCCUUUUGCUCUGGAAAAAUGUACCUGCACUGAGGGUUGUAAGGCAUUGAAUAUGCUUGAUGUUAACAAGUCAGCAGAUCCUGAUAAUCUAGAGCAUUACUUUUUAAAUCUAGCAGCUGAUUUUGUUGUUUCUCCUUUAAAAUACCCUCUUAAUUUUUCUGUCUUUAAACAAAAUUCCUCUUAUCUGGAAAUCUGCUUUUGUUCUGCCCUUAUUAAAAGCUAGUGACCCAACCCAGCAAAACAACUAAAGGCCCAUUUCUAAACUCACAGCCCUGGCCAAAAUGCUUGAAUAAUUGUUACAGGUAAGUGAUAUUUUAUCUGUUUAUUAAUCUGGAUUUUGAAAAAAAAGUAUAGCACUACUACUGCUGCUUUAAAAGUUGUUAAUGAUUUGGUACAUUCCUUGGAUAGUGGUCCACAUUGUGCUGCUGUCCUUGUUGACCUGUCUAAGGCCUUUGACACAGAAGAUCAUAAAAUACUGAUAAACAGAUUACAUCAUAUUGGUCUAUCAGACAAAGCAGUUGGUUGAAUUGCAAAUUAUUUAUCAGGCAGAGUGCAAUAUGUACAAGAGGAGGGCAUGUUGUCUGCCCCUCUUACAAUUACCAAUGAGGUGCUUCAAGGGUCUGUAUUAUGGCCUCUGUUGUUCUGUAUGUACUUAAUUAGCCUCUGUCAUAAUGUACCUGAUGCAUGUGUUCAUCUGUAUGCUGAUGACAGUUAUUUAUUGCUCUGCUGCUACUCAGACUCAGGUCCUCUCCCAGCUUCAUCAACCAUUAAUGCUGUUCAAAAAUUUCUGUUCAAUCUGAAGCUUGUCUUGAAUGCUGAGAAAACAAAAUGCAUGUUACUCACAAAAGCCAAGGUAGAGCUUUCAAACAUCCACACUAUUGUUAAGAGUAGGGUUGGGUACCGAAAGUCGCUGCUUAUAUGGAACUGGUACCCAGGGAUGGGCAGUAUUUCUAUUACUUGUAUUUAAAAUACGUAUUUCAAUUACAUUUGAGAAUUUUGUCAU